GGGGAAUUUUCCGCAAUGGGCGAAAGCCGGACGGAGCAAUACCGCGUGAGGGAGGAGGGCUCUUGGGUCGUAAACCUCUUUUCUCAGGGAAGAACACAAUGACGGUACCUGAGGAAUAAGCAUCGGCUAACUCCGUGCCAGCAGCCGCGGUAAUACGGAGGAUGCAAGCGUUAUCCGGAAUGAUUGGGCGUAAAGCGUCCGCAGGUGGCAAUGUAAGUCUGCUGUUAAAGAGUGAGGCUCAACCUCAUAAGAGCAGUGGAAACUACAUAGCUAGAGUACGUUCGGGGCAGAGGGAAUUCCUGGUGUAGCGGUGAAAUGCGUAGAGAUCAGGAAGAACACCGGUGGCGAAGGCGCUCUGCUAGGCCGUAACUGACACUGAGGGACGAAAGCUAGGGGAGCGAAAGGGAUUAGAUACCCCUGUAGUC
rnacentral:rRNA from 1 species